UGGGGAAUUUUGGACAAUGGGCGAAAGCCUGAUCCAGCAAUGCCGCGUGUGUGAAGAAGGCCUUCGGGUUGUAAAGCACUUUUUGUCCGGAAAGAAAUCCUUGGCUCUAAUACAGUCGGGGGAUGACGGUACCGGAAGAAUAAGCACCGGCUAACUACGUGCCAGCAGCCGCGGUAAUACGUAGGGUGCAAGCGUUAAUCGGAAUUACUGGGCGUAAAGCGUGCGCAGGCGGUUUGCUAAGACCGAUGUGAAAUCCCCGGGCUCAACCUGGGAACUGCAUUGGUGACUGGCAGGCUAGAGUAUGGCAGAGGGGGGUAGAAUUCCACGUGUAGCAGUGAAAUGCGUAGAGAUGUGGAGGAAUACCGAUGGCGAAGGCAGCCCCCUGGGCCAAUACUGACGCUCAUGCACGAAAGCGUGGGGGAGCAAACAGGAUUAGAUACCCCUGGUAGUCCACGCCCCUAAACGAUGUCAACUAGUUGUUGGGGAUUCAUUUCCUUAGUAACGUAGCUAACGCGUGAAGUUGACCGCCUGGGGAGUACGGUCGCAAGAUUAAAACUUAAAUGAAUUGACGGGGUCAUA
rnacentral:rRNA from 1 species